ACGAACGCUGGCGGCGUGCUUAACACAUGCAAGUCGAACGGUGAAGCGCCUUCCUUUUUGGUGGGUGUGGAUGAGUGGCGAACGGGUGAGUAACACGUGAGUAACCUGCCCCCUUCUUCUGGAUAACCGCAUGAAAGUGUGGCUAAUACGGGAUAUUCUGGGUCUGUCGCAUGGUGGGUCUGGGAAAGAUAUUGUUUCGGUGGGGGAUGGGCUCGCGGCCUAUCAGCUUGUUGGUGGGGUGAUGGCCUACCAAGGCGGUGACGGGUAGCCGGCCUGAGAGGGUGGACGGUCACACUGGGACUGAGACACGGCCCAGACUCCUACGGGAGGCAGCAGUGGGGAAUAUUGCACAAUGGGCGCAAGCCUGAUGCAGCGACGCCGCGUGAGGGAUGGAGGCCUUCGGGUUGUGAACCUCUUUCGCCAGUGAAGCAGGCCUGCCUCGUUUGUGGGUGGGUUGACGGUAGCUGGAUAAGAAGCGCCGGCUAACUACGUG
rnacentral:rRNA from 1 species